UCCGGUUUGGCACCGGCAGUCGUCCUAGAGUCCCCGCCAUUACGCGCUGGCAACUAAUGGCAAGGGUUGCGCUCGUUGCGGGACUUAACCCAACAUCUCACGACACGAGCUGACGACAGCCAUGCAGCACCUCGACUCCUGUCCCUUGCGGGAAGACCGUGUUUCCACAGUUGUUCAUGAGCCGUUCGAGCCUAGGUAAGGUUCUUCGCGUUGCGUCGAAUUAAACCACAUGCUCCUCCGCUUGUGCGGGCCCCCGUCAAUUCCUUUGAGUUUCAGUCUUGCGACCGUACUCCCCAGGUGGAUUACUUAAUACUUUCGUUCAGACGCUGACAGUGUAUCGCCAACAUCGAGUAAUCAUCGUUUACGGCGUGGACUAC
rnacentral:misc_RNA from 1 species